CUUGCUUACUCUUUUCUUCUUCACUUUCUCAUCGCCCAAACACCACAUCAAGCUUUCCUCCUCCUCCUUCAAGCCUUACUCUCAUUCCUUACCUCAUAGAUAUAUAUAUAUAUGGGUAUAAUUUUUUGCGGCCAUGGCAAGGUCAUUUCUCAAGAGACCCAUUUCCGAAAUCCCAAUUUGGUUGCUGUUUAUCACUUCUCCAUUGUCGUACCUCUUCCCCAAAUGUAUAUAAAAACACUUGAACUUGUUUUUUCCUUGGUGAUCGCAGAUUGGUCAUGAAAUCAGGUCAUCAGUAAUUGUUAUUCGAUUCUCACUAGCUCAGUCAUUAUACUUUCGCUAUCCGCCCUUCUCACAAUGGUAACAUAGAAGAUCAUGCUUCUUUCCUCCUUUAUGAAGCUGCAUUCUAUUGCUGCCAUUGGAAGAUCCACAUUAGGUAUCAUUACUGGCUUUCUUUAAUAAUUGAACCUUAGAAGCUUUGAUCAAGUUUUGUUGCAUCCUCUAAGAUUGAUUAUAUCUCAUUUUGGGCUAAUUUUGAAGACUGGAUUCAUGCAG
rnacentral:misc_RNA from 1 species